CGGCAUCCCGCCGCAACGGCGGAUAACCGCAAGCGGUUAUUCGCCCUACCAGGCCCACGUGCCAUGCAGAAGGCCACCCUGGAGGGGGCUCCGUUCCGUGGGGCGAAUAACGCCACCGGCGUUAUCCGCCGAGAUCCCGCCACGACGGCGGAUAACCGCAAGCGGUUAUUCGCCCCACCAGGCCCACGUGCCACACUGGAAGGCCACCCUGGAGGGGGCUCCGUUCCGUGGGGCGCAUACGCCACCGGCGUUAUCCGCCGAGAUCCCGCCAUAACGGCGGAUAACCGCAAGCGGUUAUUCGCCCUACAGGCCCACGUGCCAUGCAGAAAGG
rnacentral:sRNA from 1 species